rnacentral:rRNA from 1 species
UACGUAGGGUGCGAGCGUUAAUCGGAAUUACUGGGCGUAAAGCGUGCGCAGGCGGUUUCUGAAGUCCGUUGUGAAAGCCCCGGGCUUAACCUGGGAAUGGCAGUGGAAACUAGGAGACUUGAAUCUGGCAGAGGGGGGUGGAAUGCCACGUGUAGCAGUGAAAUGCGUAGAUAUCAGGAGGAAUACCGAUGGCGAAGGCAGGUCUCUGGGCUAACACUGACGCUCAUGCACGAAAGCGUGGGGAGCAAACAGG